GAUGAACGCUAGCGGCAGGCCUAACACAUGCAAGUCGAGGGGCAGCACAUAAAGUGGUUUACUACUUUUGGUGGCGACCGGCGGACGGGUGCGUAACGCGUAUGCAACCUGCCUCCAACAGGGGAUAACGGAGAGAAAUUUCCACUAAUACCCCAUAAUAUCAGAAUCGGCAUUGGAUUUGGUUGAAAACUACGGUGGUUGGAGAUGGGCAUGCGUUGUAUUAGAUAGUUGGUGAGGUAACGGCUCACGAAGUCAACGAUACAUAGAGGGACUGAGAGGUUAGCCCCCCACACUGGUACUGAGACACGGACCAGACUCCUACGGGAGGCAGCAGUGAGGAAUAUUGGUCAAUGGGGGCAACCCUGAACCAGCCAUGCCGCGUGCAGGAAGACGGCUCUAUGAGUUGUAAACUGCUUUUACAAGGGGAUAAAUCGGUGUACGUGUACACCGUUGAAGGUACCUUGGGAAUAAGGAUCGGCUAACUCCGUGCCAGCAGCCGCCGUAA
rnacentral:rRNA from 1 species